CUUGGCUGGAGGAGCCACAUUAGCGGCUGGGAGAAUAGUUGCCGAACAAGGAGUAUUGAAGGCUGUCUGGCCUCAUAGUGGACAUUACCGACCUACCCCAGAAAACUUCCAGGACUUUGUUUCAUUCAUGAGGGAGAACAAUGUCGACCUCAAUGAUGUUAAGCUUGAUUCCGACGAAGAUGAGGAAGAAUCCAUUGGCAAGAAGAGUGGUGUUUUCCUCAGAGG